AGAGUUUGAUCCUGGCUCAGGAUGAACGCUGGCGGCGUGCUUAACACAUGCAAGUCGAACGAACCUUCGGGUUAGUGGCGGACGGGUGAGUAACGCGUGGGAAUCUGCCCUCAGGAGGGGGAUAACGGCUGGAAACGGCCGCUAAUACCCCAUAUGCCGAGAGGUGAAAUGAAUUUCGCCUGAGGAUGAGCCCGCGUCUGAUUAGCUAGUUGGUGAGGUAAGAGCUCACCAAGGCAUCGAUCAGUAGCUGGUCUGAGAGGAUGAUCAGCCACACUGGGACUGAGACACGGCCCAGACUCCUACGGGAGGCAGCAGUGGGGAAUUUUCCGCAAUGGGCGAAAGCCUGACGGAGCAACGCCGCGUGAGGGAUGAAGGCCUCUGGGCUGUAAACCUCUUUUCUCAAGGAAGAAGAUCUGACGGUACUUGAGGAAUAAGCCACGGCUAAUUCCGUGCCAGCAGCCGCGGUAAUACGGGAGUGGCAAGCGUUAUCCGGAAUUAUUGGGCGUAAAGCGUCCGCAGGCGGCCUUUCAAGUCUGCUGUUAAAACGUGGAGCUUAACUCCAUCAUGGCAGUGGAAACUGUUGGGCUUGAGUGUGGUAGGGGCAGAGGGAAUUCCCGGUGUAGCGGUGAAAUGCGUAGAUAUCGGGAAGAACACCAGUGGCGAAGGCGCUCUGCUGGGCCAUAACUGACGCUCAUGGACGAAAGCCAGGGGAGCGAAAGGGAUUAGAUACCCCUGUAGUCCUGGCCGUAAACGAUGAACACUAGGUGUCGGGGGAAUCGACCCCCUCGGUGUCGUAGCCAACGCGUUAAGUGUUCCGCCUGGGGAGUACGCACGCAAGUGUGAAACUCAAAGGAAUUGACGGGGGCCCGCACAAGCGGUGGAGUAUGUGGUUUAAUUCGAUGCAACGCGAAGAACCUUACCAGGGUUUGACAUCCUGCGAAUCUCUUGGAAACGAGAGAGUGCCCUCGGGAACGCAGUGACAGGUGGUGCAUGGCUGUCGUCAGCUCGUGUCGUGAGAUGUUGGGUUAAGUCCCGCAACGAGCGCAACCCACGUCUUUAGUUGCCAGCAUUUAGUUGGGCACUCUAGAGAGACCGCCGGUGAUAAACCGGAGGAAGGUGUGGAUGACGUCAAGUCAUCAUGCCCCUUACAUCCUGGGCUACACACGUACUACAAUGCUACGGACAAAGAGCAGCAAGUUCGCGAGGACAAGCAAAUCUCAUAAACCGUGGCUCAGUUCAGAUCGUAGGCUGCAACUCGCCUACGUGAAGGAGGAAUCGCUAGUAAUCGCAGGUCAGCAUACUGCGGUGAAUACGUUCCCGGGCCUUGUACACACCGCCCGUCACACCAUGGAAGUUGGCCACGCCCGAAGCCGUUACUCCAACCCUUGUGGAGGAGGACGUCGAAGGUGGGGCUGAUGACUGGGGUGAAGUCGUAACAAGGUAGCCGUACCGGAAGGUGCGGCUGGAUCACCUCCUAA
rnacentral:rRNA from 1 species